UCUCCCUCUCUUAAUAUCCCUCUCUUUGGAUCUCCCUCUCUCAAUCUCAACCCUCUCUCUCGAUCUACCUCUCCCGAUCUCAACCCUUUCUCGAUCUCCCUCCCACUCUCCCUCAUUCUCUCUCGAUCUCCCUCUCCCUCUUCCGAUCUCGACCCUCUCUCUCUCGAUCUCCCUCUCACUCUCCCUCCCUCUCUUGAUCUCCCUCUCCCUGUCCGACUCUAGAUCUGACAGUCCCCACACGGUAUUGUAGAAGCGUAGCAGCAGCUUUGUAUGGGGUGUAUCGCAGCUCUGAAAGAUGACAUGCAGAAAGACGUCAUUGAUUGCGCUCUCUCCGCUGUUGAGAAGCACAGCGUGGAGAAGGACAUUGCUAAGUACAUCAAGGAGUUUGAUAAGAAGUAUGGCGCCACCUAGCAUUGCAUCGUUGGGCACAAUUUCGGUAUUUUCUCUGGCAUUUUCGUUCUAAUUCUUCUAUCAUUUCUUCUUUUUUGGGUCUUGCUUGUUUAUGUUUCUUCGAUCUGCCCUUUGUUUACUUGUUUUAUAUUUUUGGGAGUAUUUAUGUCUGCAAUGUGUUUGUAGAAUUGACUCAAAGAGUGGAUUUUGAAAUUUUGUUACUUGCAUUGGGUGUU